CGGCGACGGGUGAGUAACGCGUGAGCAAUCUGCCUCUAUCAGCGGGAUAACACUUAGAAAUAGGUGCUAAUACCGCAUAAGACCACUAUGCCGCAUGGCAAAGGGGUAAAAGGUGAGCCGGAUAGAGAUGAGCUCGCGUCCUAUUAGCUGGUUGGUGGGGUAACGGCCUACCAAGGCGACGAUAGGUAGCCGACCUGAGAGGGUGAUCGGCCACAUUGGAACUGGGAAACGGUCCAAACUCCUACGGAAGGCAGCAG
rnacentral:rRNA from 1 species